UUUUUGAAGCAAUUCAAUUAUUUUUCAGCCUAUUUGAAACAGGAUACAACCUGGGACUAACGGGGAAAUAAUGCUAACCAUCUCCAAGUUGCCCUAAAAGCACGCAACUUUAAAACAGCGCCAUAGCUUCACUAUGCCAAUGCACAAUACCAACCUUAUAACAUAACCCUUUAUUACUAUUGAGCAAAUCUAUAUAUCUAUAGAAACUUUCAUGGUAAAACUACGCACAAGAGACAGAUUUUCUCUUUAUGUAAACGUACAUCAGAAUGGACACACCACUGAUAAUUAACGCCCAUGAAUANAAAGAAGUAACUUAACAAGAAAACCCCUCUAUAUCCAAUGUUAAUCUGACACAAGCACAUAUCAAGAAAGAUUUAAAGAAAAAGAAGGAACUCGGCAAACAUUAACCUCGCCUGUUUACCAAAAACAUCGCCUCUUGUGAAAUCUAAGAGGUCCAGACUGCNCAGUGGCUUGUCUCCACCGGGGUUUC
rnacentral:rRNA from 1 species